rnacentral:lncRNA from 1 species
AACUCUGUUAUCGCAGCCACCACCCCAACUCUCAUACACUGGCCUUCCAUAGCACCAAUCAUACUGCCUCUCUCGCCCGUAGCCAAGCUGGUAACACGGUCCCCCACCACGCCCCUCAGAACAUUCCGUGCAACAUGCCCUAACAGGUGAGUAACACGGUCCACCACCACGCCCCUCGGAACAUUCCCUGCAACAUGCCCUAACAGGUGAGUAACACGGUCCCCCACCACGCCCCUCGGAACAUUCCCUGCAACAUGUCCUAAUUGGUGAGUAACACGGUCCCCCACCACGCCCCUCGGAACAUUCCCUGCAACAUGUCCUAACGGGUAGGUAACACGGAACGGGCUCCGGAGCCGGUGCCGGUGCCGGAGGCGGCGGUGGGGCUGGUGAUGGUUUUGGUUGGGGAGCCGGUGCCGGGGGUGGUGGCGAUGGUGAAGGUUUCGGUGGUGGUGGUGACGGUUUUGGUUCCGGAGCCGGUGCCGGCGGUGGUUUUGGUUUUGGCGGCGGCGGCGGCUUUGGCUUUGGUGGUUCCAGGAUUUCAAUAGUCUUGAUUGAACCAUCACCUUUGCAGCAUAGCUUGUCCCUGAUCUUUUCAGGACUGCAGCACACUACUUUUAUUGUCACCGUAUUCGUCUUCUCAUCGAAAAACUGUUCUUGUAUUUCUUUGGUCAAAAAGUUCAAACACAAUAUCUUAGCCCACCAUCCGCCAGCCAUUUUUUUAUUUGCAAACACAAAAUAAACAAUUCUACUUGCGCCUCACCAAAUGACACGCGAAUUCAGAAUUUUAUGCCAUUAUAAAACAUUUUACGAAACCAUAAUAUAUAAUAUAUGUAAAUGGACAUGGCCAGCGAUCAGAGAGACACUUACGUGGGAAUUUGCACAGUACUUUCUUGACUUUCUUGUAGCACUUUGAGCACUGAAGGUUAACCUUCAGCACCAUUAUUGUAACCUUCUGUAAACAAUAGUACACAGAUAAUACAAAAGUAUUUUUCAGCAGGCUAAUUAAUUAAAGAUAAAAGAGAGACAUUUAAUUAAUUUCUGACAUGAAAGAAUCAGCAAGGUAACUAUAUAUCUCCGUGUAUAUAUACACUAUAAGCUAUCAUCACGAAAGAUCGAUCGAUGCACAGCACAAACUUAACCAAAAGGGGAAUUACGAACCUUCUCUCCCAUAGCUGCUCGGAUCUGAACCUCAGGAAACCGGACACUGAUUAUUUGAAGCGUUAAUGUGACAGCAGGUAUGGAAAAGGGUCUUAUAAAUAAGUGCGCCAAUUUGAAACUUGUUUAAGAAGGGAAGGAAAAGUAAGGGCUUGAAUUCCGUACAUUAUACAUAACCAAUUAUCUGCCGACACGUCUUAUUGGAUGACGUCGAAUUUCAUGAUAUCAUCAAGGUUGUCGUUAUCUCCGUACAUAGUAAGUCUUUCUUCACAUUUAUGUAUGAUUGCUGACUCACCCAUUCUCCAUUGCAUUUGCAUGUGCUGCCUUUUGAUUGAUUGCCCUUUUCUCUGUUUUUCUUUUUUUUUUUUUGCUUUGCUUUUUUUUUUUCUUUUAUGUCUAAAGGAAAAUUUUUUGUCUUUCUCAUUUGAGCAAUAGUCAUAUUUCUUUACCUAAUUGAAAAUUAAAAAUAAAAAUAAAUAAGGGAAAAUGGACUUUAAUUGAACAACUGAUGUGAGAUCUAGGUAUAGAAAUUUACAUUCACCAACUCUUCCUAACCGUCAAAUUUGAUGCAUUUUUCGAACCCAGCACCUUGUGCCAUGGAUCGAGCAUUCAUUCUACAAACAGAGUAAUUGAUGAAAUAAUUUAAUCGAGCUAUUGGAAGUUUCACCAACCUAAAGUAAUCAUUGUCCUUAACCCAUAAACAAAGGGCCCAAUGAUCAAUUAAUAUAAGCUUUUGGAAGUUCAACCAAUCCCCGUAAGUAUACCUCCAACACUAAGGUAGCUAUUAUGGGCUUGUGGGACCCGCAUACUUAAUGCCUAAGUUAAGUGUCACAUCACUAAUUUAAUUUUAGAUUGGCCACACUCCAAGUAAUUAAAAAAGAUAAUGUUAUUAGUUUACCAGAAGCAGUUGUGACGCCUUGGCACCCACCUCCGCUUGGCCAUUUUAAAUUAAAUGUUGAUGCAGUCAUGGGGGAUGGUGGUGUGGGGGCCGUCGAUGGGUUAUCGGUUGCAAUUGAGGCAGGACUGACAUUGUUCAGAGAUUAUUUAAUUUUUAGCUUCGUGGUUUAUGUUGUCCAACGCUAUCUCACCAUUGUUAUUUAAGAUUAUUUUCUGAAACAUUAUCUCACCCAUAUUAUUGUUCAAAAAGAAAUUAAAGUAAAAAGCAGAUGGCCAAUUUAUCUCUUGUAUCAAUUCUUCUAUUCCUCUUCUUCAUUUAUGGUAAAAAUAACCAUUUUUCUUAAGUGUUUUAUGUAGCAUUUUUGUACUUAAUUUAUGCAAUGCUAUAAAAGAUCAAAUUUGAAUUUUAAAGAAUUAUUAUUAUUAUUAUUAUUAUUAUUAUUAUUAUUAUUAUUAUUUAUCAGGAACUGGGAAGAUAAUUGCCGAGACUCAGGAGAUAGAGCUCUGCAAGACAGCUAUUAUGUCCCAAAAAGAAUUUUGCUUUUGAAGCAUCACUUUCCCAAAAAGAAAUUCCAAAAAUUAUGUCUAAUUAAAAUCUUUUAGAAUCUCCCCAAGGUUUGAUUGCAUGGUUUUUAAACAGUUAUAAGCAGUUUUCAAGAAAUUGUUUUUUAUUAGUACUGAUUUGAACCUUAAGGAAGUUUGAGUUAAAAAAAUUGAUUUGGACUUAAUGGACUCCCUUAUCUUUAAAAGAAAAUGUAUCCUGCAGAAUUCGAAAGAAAUAAUUAAAAAAAAAUAAAACAAUGGAAUAAUUCAGAAAGAGAAAAUAAGAAGCACAUGUAAAAAGUAUUUUUCUAAUGAAUUUAUUUCAAUUUUUUGAUUUUAUAAAUAAAAACUCAAGGGUGAAAAAUUUUAAUGAGUAACGGUCGUUAAUGAAAAAUUUUAAUGAGUAAGGGUUGUUAUAUAUUUAACGAUGAAAUUAAAAGAAAAUAGUGUAAAUGAAAAAAAAAAAUAACAGAAGCGAUGAGAGUGAUUCUGAGAAGAGUUAGAGAUUAUUGUGGGUUGUCUAUGGUAUAGAGUAGGAAGAUUAAGUUAAAUAAAUUAGUUUGAUUUAUCUAAAUAAAUUAUUUCAUUAUAAAAUAGAAUUUACUCAUUGGUAAAGUACUGUAUAGAUGUUUUGGUUUUAUAUAAAUUUAUUAGAAGAGAUGAAUAUAAGGAGUAUUUUUAUCGAAUUCAAAAAGCUCAUAACUUUUCACUUGUAAUCAAUUUUUCUACCAUAAAUUUUUGUAUGAUUUUGGUCCCUAUGGGUAGAAGAAUUUAAAGGGGGCCAAAAUCAUAGAGGUAAACGUUUAGGGGUCAAAGUCUAAAAAGAGUAAAUUAUUUUGGUAAAAUGUCAAGAUAAAUUAAAGUUUCAGAGCCACCUCCCGCCUUUUUUUCAUUUAGCAAAAUAAUACUUUCAUGUAUUAUGCCGAGGUAGAUGUGAUGGACCUUUUUAAUAUUUAAAUUUUAUGAUAAAUAAUGAUGUGUCAUUUAUAAGAGAAAUUUUAUAAUAUAUUAGAGGUAGUACAUCAACUAAUACAUGUAUGACAUGUAUAUAUAGACUUGAUAUAACCUUUAUUUGCAUAAUAAUUUUUUAAAAUAAAUGUACAUAUAUUAUAAUAUAACUUGUUUAUUGUAUACCUGAUAUGAUACAUCUGAUUUAUUUUAGAAUUUUUCAUGUGAUUAAAAUUUUUUAUAAAGUUCUAAAUAAAUUAUUUUAUACCUGACAUUACUAUUGAAGAAUAUAUUGACAGAUAUUGUGGAAUAUUUAUAUGUAACUUAUUAGAAUUUAUACAAAAAUUGCAUAUAAAAUUACGAGAGCUUCUGUUCACUUUAAAUUAAUCAAUCUAACAAGAAUUUAAUUAAGGCUUCAUGCAUAUAACAAAGGCGAAGUGUAAGUUGUAAAAAGGCCAAAAAAAAAAUGUAUUGACAAUUUUCCAUUCUAGAUUCUAAAUUUCAAUAAACAUCUAAUUUAUCAACAAGCAUGUUCGUUCUUUUUAUGAUUGAAUGUUGAAAUAAACAGUGUAAGAUCCAUCUCUUAUGCUUGGUAAUGGCACCAAAAGAAAACUCCUCUUUGCUCCCUUUGCAACAAAGCGGAUAGGAUGAUAAUUCUUUUUCCAUUGCGAAGCAAACUACACUGUUAUAUCCAAACUCUGUUGACACUGAAUUGCAACUGACCUUCAUGCUUUCGCCCGAUUUCAAGUUAACACUAGUAGAAACGAAGCAACCCUUUUGGGUUACUGACUCCAAGGCUACUGUUUCAGCCUUUCCAUCCCAUCCGGUAACAAGGCGAAAAAUGGAGGAGCCAUGAACACUAGAAGAGUCUGCGACAACAAGUUCAUCAUCUGUUCCUUGCACUACAAGCAUUCCUGGGGAAGCAAAUAGUUCUAGCAUGACUGAUCUGCCAAUUGCAUCGCUGAGGGAUGAAAAUUCGGAGGAAGGUUUAUCGUUUAAGAUGAAUCUUAAAGUGGCUUGAAGGGCAAUGUCAGUGCCAGAUUUAGGGGAUUCUGCCAUUGGAAUAGAUUGUCAAGACAAAAGUCGAGUUUCUGGAAACUUUGGAAAAUGUGACCAGCUGAAAUUAUAUGAUGCAGGAAUUGGAGCAACAACUUCUGAAAGAGAUGUUGCUGAUUCAGUCCUGAUAUCGGAGUCCCCAUUGCUGUAGCUCGUAGGCAGAUAAGACCGUGGUGAAUGGCCGAUCAGCUGAAGAAGAAAAAAGAUUUUCAGUCAAAGAUUUUUCAUUGAUAACAGAAAUUGUAAACAAAACAGUUCAUGAAGAUUCCAUCGAUAGGCUCUGUCCUUAGAAUAAGGGGCAGCUGAAUGGUUAAUUUGUCAUCAUAUGUCCAUGCUGUGGUGAUACUUGGAAAUUUCGUGCAUCGGGAAUGUAACUGUUUGUUACAUGUCUUUAUAAAAGAUGAAACCCCACUUUUAAUUUUUCUAUCUGAAAUAAAAAAUUGAAAAACAAUCAAAGAUAUUAUAAUUCAGCACCUGCCGAUGGUAGAGGCAAAUCCUGGCCAUUUAAUGUUGCCUUUGCUCCAUUAGUAUUUGUCCACCUCGAUAUUCUGAAACCAAAGGAUAGUGAUCGAGCUGCUCCCUGGAUAUACAUCAAAUCCAGAAUGUGUGAUGGAUGAACUUCUCAUUACAAUGUUAAAAAAUAAACACCAAGUUUGAUAGCCAGUACCUUAGGAAGAAAUGUGAAUGUGAUAUGACGAUAAGGAUCUGAAGAAACAACAGGAUCAACUUUCUGGUUGGGCAGAAUAUGUCCAGAUUUCCAAUCAAGUGAGCUCGAUAUGUACCGAAUGAUGUAAAGACCAGGAUAUAAUCCUUCCUCUUCAAAGUAAAUUGAAUAUCCCAACUUUGCGAAUGACUUAAUUCCUCCAUGGGAAACAAGAAUAAAAUCUAGUAUACCAAUUGGCGGAAACUGUGCAAAUUUAGAAAGCAACUCAUGAGAUUCAAGAACAUUGAGAGUAAAGAGAAAAAAUGGGCAAUGAAUACCAGACAUGUGCCAUAACAGCACCAGAAUGAAUUUAAUUAAUGCGUAAACAAAUUUUAUUCAACUUUAUUUCUAAUCCAGUCAUUAACAUUCUUAUAGCAAUUUAACUCUAAGAUUUACCUAACACAUACGACUACUUUUAAAACUCACGACACUUUUUAAAAUAAAUUUUACUAAAUGUUUAAUUGAUUCUCUUUACAGUUGAAUAUAUUUAUAAUACAGCUAACAAUAAUUAUUUUAAAAAAUACAUCAUUACCAAAUAGGCCGCCAAUAAUUGGAAAACUAAUUGUAGCAUUAACAAACUCUACAUUCACCAACCUUUAUUUAUCUUUGAUUUUCCUAUAGAGUCUAUAUUACCCAAAAUGUUAAAGAUUAAACCAGCAUACAAGAAGCAACUAGAAGAAAGUAAACGAUAUGAUCACUGACGAUUACCAUUCAUGAUCAUUGAUUUAUGAGAUUGUGCAAGACAGUGGUGGAUUUCCUUCACAGGUGGAAUCUAACGACCACGGGUGCAAAUGAACAGCGACCACAAGUGCAAUAUGAACAGCGACCACAAGUGCAAUCUGACCAGCGACCUCUCCAAUAAACUCUAUUAUGGCAGCUACCACCCCAGCUCUCAUACACUAGUCUUGCAUAGAUCACAAUGCCUCUCUUGCCCCAAGCCAAGCUGGUGACACGGUCCCCAACCAUGACCCUCAGAACAUUGCUUGCAACAUACCCUAACCGAUGUGUAACACGGCACUGGCACCAGGGGUGGUAGUGGUGGUUUUGGGUUUUCCCCAUCCGGUUGUGGCGGGUUUUUUUUUAUCCCCAUCCGGUUGUGGUGGUUUUUUGUUAUCCCCAUUCGGUUGUGGCGGGUUUUUUUUAUCCCCAUCCGGUUGUGGCGGUUUUUUGUUAUCCCCAUCCAGUUGUGGUGGUCUAGGGUUAGGCUUUUUAUCAGGUUCCAGGAUUUCAAUAGUCUUGAUUGAACCAUCACCUUUGCAGCAUAGCUUGUCCCUGGUCUUUCAGGACUGCAGCACACUACUUUUAUUGUCACCGUAUUUGUCUUCUCAUCGAAAAACUUUUCUUGUAUUUCUUUGGUCAAAAAGUUCAAACACAAUAUCUUAGCCCACCAUCCGUCAGCCAUUUUUAUUAUUUACAGACACAAAAUAAACAAUUCUACUUGCGCCUCACCAAAUAACACGCGAAUUCAGAAUUUUAUGUCAUUAUAAAACAUUUUACGAAACCAUAAUAUAUAAUAUAUGUAAAUGGACAUGGCCAGCGAUCAGAGAGACACUUACGUGGGAAUUUGCACAGUACUUUCUUGACUUUCUUGUAGCACUUUGAGCACUGAAGGUUAACCUUCAGCACCAUUAUUGUAACCUUCUGUAAGCAAUAGUACACAGAUAAUACAGAAGUAUUUUUCAGCAGGCUAAUUAAUUAAACAUAAAAAGGGGGACAUUUAAUUAAUUUCUGACAUGAAAGAAUCAGCAAGGUGACUAUAUAUCUGUGUGUGUAUAUACACUAUAAGCUAUCAUCACGAAAGAUCGAUCGAUGCACAGCACAAACUUAACCAAAAGGGGAAUUACAA